UUCUCUUUAAAGUGAGAGUUUGUCUUAGUG
rnacentral:piRNA from 1 species